UAUUUAUAUUUUCAUAAAUUUUUAUAAUGUUUUGGAUUUUUUUAUUUUUCUAUCUUUUUUUCUUUUCUUUUUUUAUUUAUCAUUGUUGGUUAUUUUCUAUUGUAUUUUUAUAAUUUUUCAUUAACUCCUUUUCCUUUUUUUACUUAUUUUUUUUUUGUUUUCACUUUUUUCUUUGUUUUAAAAUUUUCUAUAAAACUUUUUUUCUUUUUGUUUUAUUUCAUAUUUUUACCUCUUCAUUUUUUAUUUUUUCUUGUUUUUCUAAUUUUUUUCACAAAAUUCUUUUUAUUUCUUGUUUCCAUUUUUUUUUUACACUUCCUUAUUUUGUUUUAACUUUUCCCUCUGUUAAUUUUUGUAUCUUUGAUUUUUUUUAUUUUUUUCUUAUUACAUUAUUUUUGCUUGUAUUUUCUAAAUUAAUUUUUUUUCUACUUUCUCAUCCCUUUUCAUUUUUGAACUUCUUUUAAUUUUUUAUCUUUGAUUUUUUAUAUCUUUAUAUCUUAUUAUUUUUUGUUUGUAUUUUGUAAACUUAAUUUUUUUCUAUUUUGCCAUUUUUUUCAUUUUUAUUAGUUUUUGUAUUUUUUUUAAAAUUUUUUGACUCAUUUUUUCUUUUCCUUACUUCUUUAUUUUUUUAUUUUUUUUCUUUUUUUAUUACUUAUUUUAUCUUUUUCCUUUUGCUUUAAUACUUUCUCUUAUUUUUUUUCCUUUUACUUUUUUUUGUUAAUUUUUGUUAUUUUUUAUAAAAAUUUUAUAAUGUUAUGGAUAUUUACUUUAUAUUUUAAUCUUUUUUUCUUUUGGUUUGUCUCAUUUUUGCUGUCAUUUUUUAUUUUUUUGGUAUUUUCUAUUCUAUUUUUAUAAUUCUUCAGUAAUUCUUUUUUUCUUUUUCUUUUAA
rnacentral:lncRNA from 1 species